rnacentral:rRNA from 1 species
GUCUAUGGUCAUGCUUCCCUGAGCAAGCCCAAUCUCGUUUGAUCUUGGAAGCUAAGCAGGGUAGGGCCUGGUUAGUACUUGGAUGGGAGACCACCGAAGAAGACCAGGUGCUGUAGGCA